CGGAGUGUAGCGCAGCCCGGUAGCGCACUUGUCUGGGGGACAAGGGGUCGUGGGUUCAAAUCCCGCCACUCCGA
rfam:Rhizobiales bacterium TMED249 78017, whole genome shotgun sequence.